CUCUGGGCAUUGACCCAUAGACCCUUUGUAAAAGCAGACAUACACAUUCAGAUAAUUACUUCAGUACCCAGAUAUCCCAGAACUACCAGAUGAUUUGCAGGGUGCCUUCGCAGAAUAAGAAGUAACAAAAGAGCGGGCAUUGUAGCCAGCGGGGCAGGUUUAGCAAAAAUGGCUGAGAGGAGACCCAAGGCAAGAGGUUUUUCCAGAGAGGUCUGAGCAGAAAUAUAGACAGGUUUCAGCGCGGAGGGCAGAGGGGGGAAACAUGGUCGGGCUCUGCUGAAGAGCAGCGAAGGAAAAGAAGGAAAAAAGUGUUUUGCUGGGAGGGAGGCAGGCGCUAAGGAAAGGAGAGGGGAAAGGCUUUUCUCGGGAAGCGCUGAGGAGGGAGAGGGGACGCGUUUAGGCGGGAAACGCUGGGUGCCAGAAGGGCUUCCUCUGCACGCGCCGCGGCGAGACGUGAGGCGGGAAGAUCUGAGGAGAGGGGAGCGGUUUGCCGUAACGGCUGAGGGGAGGGAGAGGGAAAGAUUUUGUCGGAAAAGUCGAGGGAAUGGUGAGGAAAAGGCUUUUUUUUUUUUUUUUUUUUUUUUUUUUUUUAAUGGGAAAUGCAAGAGAAGAGGGGGAGAGGUUUUUACCAGGACGCGCUAUGGGCGGGCGAGGCUUUUGUGCAAGGUGCUGAGAGGAGAGCGACGGGUUGUGUGAGCGGAUGCUGAAGGUGCUGAAAGGCGGAAAGAGGCUCCGCUGGAAGUGCUGAGGGGAGGUAGAGAGAAACGAUUUGUCAGGAAGCGCUGGAUGUAUGAGGGAGGAGACGUUUUGUAGGGAAAUGUCAAGGGGGUAGUGGGGAAAGGCUUGCUGAGGAAAGCGCUGGAGGGAAAACGCUUUUGUGCGAAGCACAAGGGGAGGGAGGAAAGAAUUAGCUGGGAAGCACUAAAGGCAAAGAGGGGAAAGAGAUUUGUGGGAAGUGCUUAGGGGAGAGAAAGGAAAAGCUUUUCUCAGGAAGUGCUGAGGUGAUAGUGGGGAAGGAAUUACUCAGAAAGCACAAAGGGAAAAAAGUCUUAAUGGGAGGCAAAAAAUAUUUUAAGAAAGCCCUGAAAAGAGAGAAAGUAACCCUUACUGUGCAGGCAGAGUCCUGCCUCACUAGGUGAAGUUCAGCUGGGCUGGGGAAUAGAGUUGUUUCUUCGUUGUCCUGAUCUUGUCUCCUGUAUUUCUCUUGCUCCCGGUUCCCCGCUCCUGCCAUGCAGAAUGAGCAAGACGAGGAAGGCUUUGGAGAAACUGCAAGCAACGAGCGAGAAGAAUCUGCAGGCUGUUUACAAGGCCAGUGAUGCAAGUCCCAGAAGAGGGAGGAGAAGAACCCAGGACAGUGGCACUUCUCUGAAGCUGUCUCAUUGCUCAAGCACUGAAGAGUACUGGAGUCAGCUGAAACAGUGCAAGUAAACCCAGGUGGGAAAGCACAAUGACGUGGAAGAGGGAAAAGAUGACGAAAGUCUCAGAGGAAAAUGGAAUUGGUCUGGGCUGAGCAAGGAGUGCCAUGAUCAUUUUGACCUGUAUGUGAGCAAAACAAUCCUGAAAUCAGUGUAUUUUACCAGUCAGUGGGUACAUAAAUAACUCCUAGUUUUGGUCAUUCUUAUUUGAACAGUUUUCAGUAAAAGCGUGAAUUAAAACGCAGAAUUCCGCGAUUAAGCAUAACAGAAA